rnacentral:rRNA from 1 species
CCUACGGGAGGCAGCAGUGGGGAAUAUUGGACAAUGGGGGCAAGCCGGAUCCAGCCAUGCCGCGUGAGUGAUGAAGGCCUUAGGGUUGUAAAGCUCUUUCACCGGUGAAGAUAAUGACGGUAACCGGAGAAGAAGCCCCGGCUAACUUCGUGCCAGCAGCCGCGGUAAUA